CGGCGAGUGAAGCGGCAACAGCUCAAAUUUGAAAUCUGGCCCUCUCGGGGGUCCGAGUUGUAAUUUGCAGAGGGUGCUUUGGCGUCGGCUGUGGUCUAAGUUCCUUGGAACAGGACGUCGCAGAGGGUGAGAAUCCCGUAUGUGGCCGCCAGUCUUCGCCGUGUAAAGCCCCUUCGACGAGUCGAGUUGUUUGGGAAUGCAGCUCUAAAUGGGAGGUAAAUUUCUUCUAAAGCUAAAUAUCUGCCAGAGACCGAUAGCGCACAAGUAGAGUGAUCGAAAGAUGAAAAGCACUUUGGAAAGAGAGUCAAAAAGCACGUGAAAUUGUUGAAAGGGAAGCGCUUGCAGUUAGACAUGCCUUUAGUUGCUCAGCCGGGCUCUUUGGCCCGGUGCACUCUUCUAUCGGCAGGCCAGCAUCAGUCUGGGCGGUCGGAUAAAGGCCUAUUAAACGUGACUCCCCCCGGGGAGAGCUUAUAGGGUAGGCGCCAUGCGACCAGCCUGGACUGAGGUCCGCGCAUCUGCUAGGAUGCUGGCGUAAUAGCUGCAAGCGGCCCGUCUUGAAACACGGACCAAGGAGUCUAACAUCUAUGCGAGUGUUUGGGUGUCAAGCCCGGGCGCGUAAUGAAAGUGAACGGAGGUGGGAUCCCCUCGGGGUGCACCAUCGACCGAUCCUGAUGUCUUCGGAUGGAUUUGAGUAAGAGCAUAGCUGUUGGGACCCGAAAGAUGGUGAACUAUGCCUGAAUAGGGUGAAGCCAGAGGAAACUCUGGUGGAGGCUCGCAGCGGUUCUGACGUGCAAAUCGAUCGUCAAAUUUGGGCAUAGGGGCGAAAGACUAAUCGAACCUUUCUUUC
rnacentral:rRNA from 1 species